rnacentral:lncRNA from 1 species
CCCUCCCCCGAGGCUGGCGCUGCCUUCCUCCCCUCUUCCUCCUCCUCAGGACCCCCCAAAUCCCCCUCAGGCCCUUCCUCACCCUCCUCAAAUCCCCCUGUGGCCUUCCUCACCCUCCUCCUCCUCCUCAAAUCCUCCUCAGGCCCUUCCUCACCCUCCUCUUCCUCCUCCAAUCCCCCUGUGGCCUUCCUCACCUUCCUCCUCC